rnacentral:rRNA from 1 species
GACGAACGCUGGCGGCGUGCUUAACACAUGCAAGUCGAACGGAAAGGCCCUGCUGUUGUGGGGUGCUCGAGUGGCGAACGGGUGAGUAACAAGUGAGUAACCUGCCCUUGACUUUGGGAUAACUUCAGGAAACUGGGGUUAAUACCGGAUAGGAGCUCCUGCUGCAUGGUGGGGGUUGGAAAGUUUCGGCGGUUGGGGAUGGACUCGCGGCUUAUCUGCUUGUGGGUGGGGUUGUGGCUUACCAAGGCUUUGACGGGUAGCCGGCCGGGGAGGGGGACCGGCCACAUUGGGACUGGGAAACGGCCCGGACUCCUAGGGAGGGCAGCGGGGGGGAAUAUUGCACAAGGGGCGGAAGCCGGAUGCAGCAACGCCGCGGGCGGGAUGACGGCCUUCGGUUGGUAAACCGCUUCCGCCUGGGACGAAGCGGGAGUGACGGUAAUUGGUAAAGAAGCACCGGCUAACUACGUG